GUGGGGAAUAUUGGACAAUGGGCGCAAGCCUGAUCCAGCCAUGCCGCGUGAGUGAUGAAGGCCCUAGGGUUGUAAAGCUCUUUCACCGGUGAAGAUAAUGACGGUAACCGGAGAAGAAGCCCCGGCUAACUUCGUGCCAGCAGCCGCGGUAAUACGAAGGGGGCUAGCGUUGUUCGGAAUUACUGGGCGUAAAGCGCACGUAGGCGGAUUUUUAAGUUAGGGGUGAAAUCCCAGGGCUCAACCCUGGAACUGCCUCUAAUACUGGGUAUCUCGAGUCCGAGAGAGGUGAGUGGAAUUCCGAGUGUAGAGGUGAAAUUCGUAGAUAUUCGGAGGAACACCAGUGGCGAAGGCGGCUCACUGGCUCGGUACUGACGCUGAGGUGCGAAAGCGUGGGGAGCAAACAGGAUUAGAUACCCGGGUAGUCC
rnacentral:rRNA from 1 species